CAGUAGCCGCGGUAAUACGAAGGGGGCUAGCGUUGUUCGGAAUUACUGGGCGUAAAGCGCACGUAGGCGGACAUUUAAGUCAGGGGUGAAAUCCCGGGGCUCAACCCCGGAACUGCCUUUGAUACUGGGUGUCUAGAGUAUGGAAGAGGUGAGUGGAAUUCCGAGUGUAGAGGUGAAAUUCGUAGAUAUUCGGAGGAACACCAGUGGCGAAGGCGGCUCACUGGUCCAUUACUGACGCUGAGGUGCGAAAGCGUGGGGAGCAAACAGGAUUAGAUACCCCCGUAGUCCCUGUCUCUUAUAC
rnacentral:rRNA from 1 species